GAUGAACGCUGGCGGUGUGCCUUAAGCAUGCAAGUCGAACGAUACGUUCAGCGCGCAAGCGCAUGAACGUAUAGUGGCAGACGGGUGAGUACAACGUAGGAAUCUACCUUAAAGUGUGGAAUAGCCCCGCGAAAGCGGGGGUAAUACCGCAUGUGAUCGCAAGAUCAAAGGCCCUAACCGGCCGCUUUAAGAGGAGCCUGCGCCCUAUCAGCUAGUUGGCGGGGUAAAUGCCCACCAAGGCGAUGACGGGUAGGGGGUGUGAGAGCACGACCCCCCACAAGGUCACUGAGACACGGGACCUACACCUACGGGUGGCAGCAACUGGGAAUCUUGCGCAAUGGACGAAAGUCUGACGCAGCGACACCGCGUGUGGGAUGAAGUAUUUCGGUAUGUAAACCACUGUGAUAAGGGAUAAAGAUCUGAUAGUACCUUAUUAGAAAGCAUCUGCUAACUACGUGCCAGAAGCCUCGGCAAUGCGUGGGAUGCAAGCGUUAUCCGGAUUUACUGGGCGUAAAGGGUUUCGCAGGCGGAUUGUUAAGUCUAGUCUUAAAUACUGAGGCUCAACCUCAGCUACAGGAUUGGAUACUGGCAAUCUUGAGGAUAUCAGGGGGAACUGGAAUACUCGGUGGAGGGGUAAAAUCCGUUGAGAUCGAGUAGAACGCCAAUGGCGAAGGCAGGUUCCUGGGGUAUUCCUGACGCUCAGGUACGAAAGCUAGGGUAGCAAACGGGAUUAGAGACCCCGGUAGUCCUAGCCGUAAACAAUGAAUACUAGCUGCUUCUUUUUUAAGGGGUGGCGUAAGCUAACGCGUUAAGUAUUCCGCCUGGGUAGUACGGCCGCAAGGUUA
rnacentral:rRNA from 1 species